rnacentral:tRNA from 1 species
GGAAUCGUAGCUCAGUUGGCUAGAGCGUUGGCUGUACUAAGCCUUCACCUUUCUGGCGUUGGUUCGAAUCCCACUGAGGCCG